rnacentral:rRNA from 1 species
CCUCAGUAACGGCGAGUGAAGCGGCAACAGCUCAAAUUUGAAAUCUGGCGCCCCUGGGCGUCCGAGUUGUAAUUUGCAGAGGAUGCUUCGGGAUCGGCGCUGCCCCAGGUUCUUUGGAACAGGACGCCACAGAGGGUGAGAGCCCCGUCUCUGGGCGGCAGCCGGUACCGUGUGAAGCGCCUUCGACGAGUCGAGUUGUUUGGGAAUGCAGCUCAAAACGGGAGGUAAAUUUCUUCCAAGGCUAAAUACAGGCCGGAGACCGAUAGCGCACAAGUAGAGUGAUCGAAAGAUGAAAAGUACUUUGGAAAGAGAGUCAAACAGCGCGUGAAAUUGUUGAAAGGGAAGCGCUUGCAGUCAGACUUGGCCGCCCGGUUCGGCGGGGCCUCGCGCCCCGUCUCCGCCGUGGCGGUCAGGCCAGCAUUGGUUCGGGCGACCGGAGAAAGGCUGCGGGAAUGUGGCUCCUCUCGGGGAGUGUUAUAGCCCGCGGCAGAAUACGGCCAGCCCGGACCAAGGAACGCGCUUCGGCUCGGAUGCUGGCGUAAUGGCUGCAAGCGGCCCGUCUUGAAACACGGACCAAGGAGUCUAACAUCUGUGCGAGUGUUUGGGUGUCAAGCCCUUGCGCGCAAUGAAAGUGAACGGAGGUGGGAGCCCUCGGGCGCACCAUCGACCGAUCCUGAUGUCUUCGGAAGGAUUUGAGUAAGAGCACAGCUGUUGGGACCCGAAAGAUGGUGAACUAUGCCUAAGCAGGGUGAAGCCAGAGGAAACUCUGGUGGAGGCUCGCAGCGGUUCUGACGUGCAAAUCGAUCGUCAAAUUUGGGUAUA